UACGUAGGGAGCAAGCGUUGUCCGGAAUUAUUGGGCGUAAAGAGCUCGUAGGCGGUUUGUCGCGUCUGCUGUGAAAACUCGGGGCUUAACUCCGGGCCUGCAGUGGGUACGGGCAGACUAGAGUGCGGUAGGGGAGACUGGAAUUCCUGGUGUAGCGGUGAAAUGCGCAGAUAUCAGGAGGAACACCGAUGGCGAAGGCAGCUCUCUGGGUCGGCCCUGACGCUGAGGCGCGAAAGCGUGGGGAGCGAACGGG
rnacentral:rRNA from 1 species